rnacentral:rRNA from 1 species
GAUGAACGCUAGCGGCAGGCCUAACACAUGCAAGUCGAGGGAGAAGCCCUUCGGGGCAGAAACCGGCGCACGGGUGCGUAACGCGUAUGCAACCUACCUUUCACAGGGGGAUAGCCCGAAGAAAUUUGGAUUAAUACCCCAUAAUAUUAUUGGAUGGCAUCAUUUGAUAAUUAAAAUUACGAUGGUGAAAGAUGGGCAUGCGUCCUAUUAGCUAGUUGGAGUGGUAACGGCACCCCAAGGCUACGAUAGGUAGGGGUCCUGAGAGGGAGAUCCCCCACACUGGUACUGAGACAGGGACCAGACUCCUACGGGAGGCAGCAGUGAGGAAUAUUGGUCAAUGGUCGGAAGACUGAACCAGCCAUGCCGCGUGCAGGAAGAAUGCCUUAUGGGUUGUAAACUGCUUUUAUAUGGGAAGAAUAAGGCGUACGUGUACGUUGAUGACGGUACCAUAUGAAUAAGCAUC